rnacentral:rRNA from 1 species
UACGUAGGGUGCAAGCGUUAAUCGGAAUUACUGGGCGUAAAGCGUGCGUAGACGGUUAUGUAAGUCGGAUGUGAAAGCCCCGGGCCUAACCUGGGAACUGCAUUCGAGACUGCAUAGCUAGGAUGCGGAAGAGGGAAGUGGAAUUUCCGGUGUAGCGGUGAAAUGCGUAGAUAUCGGAAGGAACAUCAGUGGCGAAAGCGACUUCCUGGUCCAGCAUCGACGUUCAGGCACGAAAGCGUGGGGAGCAAACAGG